UACGAAGGGGGCUAGCGUUGCUCGGAAUGACUGGGCGUAAAGGGCGCGUAGGCGGACUAUUCAGUCAGGCGUGAAAUUCCUGGGCUUAACCUGGGGGCUGCGUUUGAGACGGAUGGUCUAGAGUUCGGAAGAGGGUCGUGGAAUUCCCAGUGUAGAGGUGAAAUUCGUAGAUAUUGGGAAGAACACCGGUGGCGAAGGCGGCGACCUGGUCCGGGACUGACGCUGAGGCGCGAAAGCGUGGGGAGCAAAC
rnacentral:rRNA from 1 species